CCUAGUCGCAGGUUUAAACGGGUGGUAGAAUCCAUUCAAGCUCAGUUGCUCAGUACUCACGAUCAGCCUUCUGUGCAGGCACUUGCUGGUGAGUCUCACAAAGUGACAGAUGAGAAGAAUGGGCAGCUGCCCUCUCAUCCUCCAGGCUCCCUGAGCCGACAGAACUCUCGCCGCUCGGAGGGUGGGGCGACCGUGACGGGGGAGGCCUACAGCGCCGAGGCUCCAGUAAAGACAAGACCCGCCUGCUCUCCUCUAAUGGAACCCAGUCUCAGCCCUGAGAGCUUCUGACCGGAUGCCUACCCACACCCCCUACAACCCCUCCCAAAGAAACCCUCCCCCCCCAAAAGAGGCCCCUCACAGACCCCUAGAAACUCCCCCGCCCUUCCUCCACCCCCGAGAUCCACCACUGCAGCAGUAGUCUGAAGCUUCGAGAAGCACCACGGAGCAACUUGGAUUGUUUUUGGUAACCAGGAGGUCUAUUUUUUACCUUAUCCGUCGCCGAAAAAACAAGAGGAAGAAUUUGUUCUAAGAGCUUACCUUGUUGUUAAGAUUCAUGUAUAUGUAUGUAUGUAAGUAUGUGUGUGUAUAUAUAUAUAUAUACACAUACAUACAUACAUACAUACAUACAUACAUAUAUACAUAUACGUAUAUAUGUAUGGCUGUUCUUUUGGGUGUAUGUAUACAUAUAUGUGUUCUUUAGGUGAAGGGCAGGGGUAAACGCAGCAGUGUUAAUGUUGUGCAUUACCAGGAGAGAAUGUAUUACGUCUCCUGGGGGCACAGGGACAGAUAACCCAAAUUGGCAACCUGCAGGUAAUCCUGUGGAUCCAAGUGAAAUUCAAAUCUCAAAAGAAGUGGUACCAAAAAGAAAAUGUUGAAUAGGGGCCUAAUUUAGAAAAUGGAACAUUUCUGUGUGGACAUGUAGAGACAAAUUAACUACCUAAAUUAGUAAUAGUUGGCCACAAAUUGACGUCUGGUUAGUUAAAUCAUAUAGACGUUUUUGAGCUUUUUAAGGACACAAUCUUUGUGACCUCACCCAGAAAAGAUAUAAUGUUAAACUACUUUGCCUUUUAAUACAGCAAAUUGUUUCCAUCUCAUAAGGUCUUGUCAACUCUUGGUGAAGACACCAGAGUCUGGUAGAUGAAGUGAACAGAACAAAACAGAACAAAAUCCCAAAUAACUGAGCACAGAAAUGUGUUAUGUCUUCUUAAAGCUCCACGGGCUGCAUGAGCCUGAGACACAGAGAAUGAGACACAGAGAAGUGCAUGCCUGCACAUGCCCCCCACCACCCCCAAAAUGUCUAUAUGGGGAUGAGAACCAGACACACUUCCUGGUCCAAAAUGGCUCCUUCCAGGUCCAGAUGCACUAGGGCUGCUGGGUAAGUCCUAUACAUGAAAUCAGGCAGGGGCUUGGCAGGGAGCAGGAGCGGCUCUUAGCCCAAGAGGGAAGGGGACAAAAAAGAGGAAGGGGCAUCGAUGGCACAAAAAUAGAAAGAGUUCUGAACACUUUUUUGUUUCAUUGUGUUCUGUUCUUCAUUUAAAAUGAGGAUGACAUGUUUGCUGACAGUGGAAUGAGACAAGAAAGCCAAUGUAGUGAAUGUCAAAACAAAAAGCUAUUUUCAAACUAUUUAUUUGAUUUGUUUAUUGAUGUAAAUUUGGAAUUAUUUUUUCAUUUUAUUUAUUUAUUUGUUUAUUUAUUUGUCUUACUGGAAGAGAAUACUGUAACAUAAACUGCUGCUGGUAAUUGUCAGAAAGACAAUUAGCUGAAAAUGUCAAUUUAAGAGCACGACUUCAAAGACACAUUCUGGACUGGAUUACUGGACCUGAUGGAAUGUUGGGGGGAAAUGACCUUGUUUCCUUUUGAAACAUUUAAAAAAAAAAAAAAAUGCUGCAAACAUCCUUCCAGCCACCACUUCUGAUUUUUGUUUUGUUUUUGUGUUUAUCAUCUUAUUUGGUAUCAGUGAGCAGAAUUUUCAACAAAAAAAUUACAGAAAAAUUACUUUUAUCCUUUGGAGCUUUCUAGAACCCUUUCCAUGAAUGGAAAGAAAAAGACAAAGACUUAAAGAGGAGAACAGACACAAAAAGAGAAGAGAAAAUGGAUGUAAGCCACACCUCUCCUCCUUCCAGAAUGUUCCUCAAGAGAAGAGCCUAAAGCUUUGAACUCUGUGUUGCACCACAUCACAUACUGAACACAACCAGUAUUUACACACACACAGACACACACAGACACACACAGACACACACACACACACACACACACACAGAUAGUGUUGAUGAACUGUCUGUGACAGACUCUUCUCAUCUUCACAGAGGAAAAGAUUAGUGAAAUGAAUGAAAACUGGAUUUUAAAACAGGAAAGCACUGUAUACACACACAACAAGAAAAAAAGAAACAUUGAGUAGGACCCCACCCCACCACACCCCUCCUACCUUGGCAGUGCUCUCCCAAAACAACUGCUUCAAGUGCAGAUCUGAAGAUGGGAUCAGGACGUUCAAGAAACUUGGUCCAGAGAAACCCCAUACCCUGUCUCCAACAGACAAACUCACCUUAAAGCACAGGAUAUCCAGGGUACAUAGUUGCUUCCAUCACUCGUUACAGCAGACAGCAUUAACACUUUAAAAACAGGAUCACAACUGUGCCCUCCACUUUGUCACUUCCACACUUGUUUAUGUUUUUGUUUCGUAGUCUGGAUAUUUUGCUGCCAUCCAUAAUGCAAUGUACUUGGUAGCCAACCAGGCUGAUUGGUUUAUGGCUUCGGCCCUGUCGAAAGGCCAUCAGUAGGCCAUCAACCAGUCAGCAGCUACUCAGCCUGAUAUUUUGUUCACCAGCCCAUCGAGAAGGUUCCCUUGGUGCUCAGCCUUGUUGUUUGUCCACGGGACCCUGCAUGUCAGAGCUGAGCUGAGGCCAUGGGUCUCUGCGUGCUGAAUGUCCGCGCUGCAUGCCUGACCACGUCUGUCCUCUCUGCUGGCAGGAGCUGGUUCCACAACACUGACAUCGCCUUAAUCAUGCUUAAUCAUGUGCUCCGAGCACUGUCUGGCUGUAUCAUCAGUUGCUAGAGCACACUUACAUUUACAAAACACAUUUGGGAUUGUAAGCUUCCACCGCCUCGAGGGUUCAUGCCGAUAAACACACACGUACAGACACAUGCCUACACUCACACACAUUCAUAGUGGAAAUGACAACAACCCUUCUGGACUUUCUGUGCUCACAUCCAGACUGACGUGGGGAAUGUCAGUUAGUCUUGAAAGUUCAACAUUCUUAUCCUUUCGUUCCUCUCCCUCUGUCAUUCCUCAACGCUCUCUCACUCACCCUCUCCACAGGUUUCACUCUUGGAACCCACACACACACACACAUUAAAACUCCUCUUUGUUAUUCCCCCUCCUUUUUCCAACUUUCACUCUGUACAUCCAUCUUCCCCCCCUCCCCACCAUACAUUAUAUACCUCACAUCCUCAUGUAUGCGCUUCUGUACGCACUGUAACCCAUGCCUUGAUUGUUUAGUCAUCUCUGUGCUCAUGCUAUGAACCUUGACUCAUUCUUGUCAACAUAAUUGACUAUUCCAGUUAAGAUUGUAAGAUUAUACUCUCUUCCCCCUCAUGCACAGUAGAAACUUUUUUCCCAUAUUACAGAUUGACAUUAAUUGGGGAAAGCAUUAUAAUGAUGAAAAAGAGAAAAAUGUCUGUAUUAUAAUUAAAAAUGAAAGUGCACUAUUAUUAUUGCCUGUGAUAAAAACAAUAAACAACAUAAUAAGGAAA